AUUCUCUGUUGACAGCGCUCAGGGGCCCAUGUUGACUGUGUUGGUGUGGUAGCUAGGGUAGGUGACCAGGCCGGCCUAGGAAGUAUCACACAACGGCAGGAACUAAGGUCAACGCUCACUGACCAACCAACCUGUUACCUUCACUUUUACCGUGCGUCAGGGCGGGCAGACGUCGCGGGCCACGAGGUACAGGCGCAGCAGUCGUUGUGUCGUGUCGCGGCGACUAACACUUACUUCUACCAUGACCACGUCGAUGUCUCUCUCAGCGGUGAAGUCAGCCCUGGUGGUGGUGGUGAUGAUGACGGUGGUGGUGAGUGGAGCGGCGGCGCCUCUGAACAGCGGUCGAGGUAAAGUUAUCGUGGCCUUCGAGACUCCAGAGCAAGAACAGUUCCAGUACGGCAUACCAGGCGAGGCUGUGUUCGGGGCGUAUAGGACUUCCAUUAUUCCCGGAAGCUGGCAGACUAACGACACACCCACUCAAGUCAAUUAAAAAGGUCCAUUAAACUCUACAGUAUCUUCACUAAACUCUCUAUACCAGGGAGGGAAAAUUGGAUCACUAUUACCAAACCACAACGACAACCACAGGAACUGAUUACUACUUUAUAAAAGGAAAAAAUUAUGUAAA